rnacentral:lncRNA from 1 species
AUCAAAAGAGGAAGAAAUUCAGAUGAUGUUCAUUAAUUUCCUACCCUUAAAAUCUCCUUUCUGUGGAUUACUAUGUGUGAAGAAUGGUUACUUCUGCCUCUACUUGUGCUAGGGUUACCUGACAAGCUUCAUUACCUACAAGGAGAAAGCCCUGGCAAAACUCUGAGAGACUGCUUGAACACAAGAAACUAGUGUCUUUAUAUAUAUACCCUACACGAGAAGAAUCAUUCUCAUCAACUGGAUGAGCAAACUAGUACAGUUUGUUAGUCUUUUCACAUCUGUUUGUCUUUUCACAUAAGGCAUUGACAGUUGCAUUUCUGAAGGAUUGUUGCUGACAAAUGGGAG